rnacentral:rRNA from 1 species
GCGGCCGUAACUAUAACGGUCCUAAGGUAGCGAAAUUCCUUGUCGGGUAAGUUCCGACCUGCACGAAUGGCGUAAUGAUGGCCAGGCUGUCUCCACCCGAGACUCAGUGAAAUUGAACUCGCUGUGAAGAUGCAGUGUACCCGCGGCAAGACGGAAAGACCCCGUGAACCUUUACUAUAGCUUGACACUGAACAUUGAGCCUUGAUGUGUAGGAUAGGUGGGAGGCUUUGAAGUGUGGACGCCAGUCUGCAUGGAGCCGGCCUUGAAAUACCACCCUUUAAUGUUUGAUGUUCUAACGUGGACCCGUGAUCCGGGUUGCGGACAGUGUCUGGUGGGUAGUUUGACUGGGGCGGUCUCCUCCUAAAGAGUAACGGAGGAGCACGAAGGUUGGCUAAUCCUGGUCGGACAUCAGGAGGUUAGUGCAAUGGCAUAAGCCAGCUUGACUGCGAGCGUGACGGCGCGAGCAGGUGCGAAAGCAGGUCAUAGUGAUCCGGUGGUUCUGAAUGGAAGGGCCAUCGCUCAACGGAUAAAAGGUACUCCGGGGAUAACAGGCUGAUACCGCCCAAGAGUUCAUAUCGACGGCGGUGUUUGGCACCUCGAUGUCGGCUCAUCACAUCCUGGGGCUGAAGUAGGUCCCAAGGGUAUGGCUGUUCGCCAUUUAAAGUGGUACGCGAGCUGGGUUUAGAACGUCGUGAGACAGUUCGGUCCCUAUCUGCCGUGGGCGCUGGAGAACUGAGGGGGGCUGCUCCUAGUACGAGAGGACCGGAGUGGACGCAUCACUGGUGUUCGGGUUGUCAUGCCAAUGGCACUGCCCGGUAGCUAAAUGCGGAAGAGAUAAGUGCUGAAAGCAUCUAAGCACGAAACUUGCCCCGAGAUGAGUUCUCCCUGACCCUUUAAGGGUCCUGAAGGAACGUUGAAGACGACGACGUUGAUAGGCCGGGUGUGUAAGCGCAGCGAUGCGUUGAGCUAACCGGUACUAAUGAACCGUGAGG